AGGCUGGGGAACAAAUGAUUUCCCACUGUAGGCAUACUUCGAAAUAAAAGAAAAUCAAUUGUCUUAGCUUUUUCCUUUGAAAACUGUCACGAUCCUUGGUCUCCUAAGGUUGGGCCCCCAAAAAAAUCAAAAAAUGAGUGACCAAAACAUCCUUAGGGCUCGCGAGACUUUCGCGACAAUUUUGAGUUAUUACGAGAAUCGUAGCAACAGCAGCAGUGAUUAUUCGACAAGUCUCCCUCCCCCGGACUGGGCCAGGAGCGCCAGGAGCUCCGAGUACGGGAAUAUCAUUAUCGGCUAUAUCCAGCCACGACCUCCCACCGCCGAACAAGCAGCACAGGCACAGCAAUGUCUAAGUGAUCUAUUGCGGUCGCAAGAAACAAGGAACAGCUUGUCACCAACUGAGAGACAGCUGUUUACGGCAGCUGUUAAUGAGCCUAAUAGUCUGUUGAACCGACGUCCGCCAAAUUCAGCUCCAUCAAGUACACUUCAGUUAGUUAACUGCACUUGUAUUGAGUCCACGACCAUCAAAUCAGCCUCCGUCGAGUACAUAUCAGUCGACUGCAUUUCCAUCAAGCCCACAUCCACCAAAUCUGCCGCCAUGCAAUACAGAUCCAUCGAGCC
rnacentral:sRNA from 1 species